rnacentral:rRNA from 1 species
UACGGGAGGCAGCAGUGGGGAAUAUUGCACAAUGGGCGAAAGCCUGAUGCAGCUAUGCCGCGUGUAUGAAGAAGGCCUUAGGGUUGUAAAGUACUUUCAUCGGGGAGGAAAAACAAAACUAAUAAUUUUAUUUCUUGACGUUACCCGAAAAAGAAGCACCGGCUAACUCCGUGCCAGCAGCCGCGGUAAUACGGAGGGUGCUAGCGUUAAUCAGAAUUACUGGGCGUAAAGAGCACGUAGGUGGUUUUUUUAAGUCAGAUGUGAAAUCCCUGGGCUUAACCUAGGAACUGCAUUUUGAAACUGAAAUACUAGAGUAUCGUAGAGGGAGGUAGAAUUCUAGGUGUAGCGGUGAAAUGCGUAGAUAUCUGGAGGAAUACCUGUGGCGAAAGCGGCCUCCUAAACGAAUACUGACACUGAGGUGCGAAAGCGUGGGGAGCAAACGAGGAUUAGAUA